rnacentral:tRNA from 1 species
GUCCUCGCGGGCCAGCCGGAGUGGCCGCCGCGCUUUCAACGCGGAGACCGCGGGUUCGAGUCCCGCCGAGGAUG